rnacentral:rRNA from 1 species
UAGAGUUUGAUCCUGGCUCAGAGCGAACGUUGGCGGCGCGCCUAACACAUGCAAGUCGAACGCGAAAAGCAUUCGUGCUGAGUAGAGUGGCGCAAGGGUGAGUAACACGUAAGUAAUCUGCCCUCAGGAUUGGGAUAACAUGCCGAAAGGCGUGCUAAUACCGAAUAAGACCACGACCUCUGCGGAGGUUGCGAGAAAAGAUGGGGACCGGAAACGGCCUAUCACCGGAGGAUGAGCUUGCGGCCUAUCAGCUAGUUGGCGGUGUAACGGACCACCAAGGCAAAGACGGGUAGCUGGUCUGAGAGGAUGAUCAGCCACACUGGAACUGAGACACGGUCCAGACUCCUACGGGAGGCAGCAGUGGGGAAUUUUGCACAAUGGACGAAAGUCUGAUGCAGCGACGCCGCGUGUGCGAUGAAGGCCUUUGGGUCGUAAAGCACUGUCGAUCGGGACGAAAACUCCGGUACUAAUACUAUCGGAGUCUGACGGUACUGAUAAAGGAAGCACCGGCUAACUCUGUGCCAGCAGCCGCGGUAA